UACGAAGGGGGCUAGCGUUGCUCGGAAUUACUGGGCGUAAGCGCACGUAGGCGGAUUGUUAAGUCGGGGGUGAAAUCCUGGAGCUCAACUCCAGAACUGCCUCGAUACUGGCGAUCUCGAGUCGGGAGAGGUGAGUGGAACUGCGAGUGUAGAGGUGAAAUUCGUAGAUAUUCGCCAAGAACACCAGUGGCGAAGGCGGCUCCACUGG
rnacentral:rRNA from 1 species